CACCAUGAAGAAGACCCGCAGCACAACCUUGCGGCGAGCCUGGCCUAGCGCGGAUUUCUCGGACCGGGCCUCGGACCGCAUGAGGUCCCGCAGCGAGAAGGACUACCGCCUGCACAAGCGCUUCCCCGCGGCCUUCGCGCCCCAGGCUUCGCGGGGCUACAUGACAUCAGGUGAUGUGUCACCAAUCAGUAUGUCUCCCAUCAGUCAAUCUCAGUUCAUUCCACUCGGGGAAAUCCUUUGCUUGGCCAUCUCAGCAAUGAACUCGGCACGAAAACCCGUCACCCAAGAGGCCCUGAUGGAGCACCUGACCACGUGCUUCCCAGGUGUCCCCACCCCCAGCCAGGAGAUCCUGCGGCACACCCUCAACACGCUGGUGCGGGAGCGGAAGAUCUACCCGACCCCCGAGGGCUACUUCAUCGUGACCCCGCAGACGUACUUCAUCACUCCGUCCCUCAUAAGGACUAACAGCAAGUGGUACCACUUGGACGAGCGGAUACCCGACCGGUCUCAGUGCACCUCUCCCCAGCCCGGAACCAUCACGCCCUCUGCCUCAGGCUGCGUCAGGGAAAGGACCUUGCCCAGAAACCACUGCGACUCUUGCCACUGCUGCCGGGAGGACAUGCACAGCAUGCACGCGUCCACCCUGCAGCGGAAGCCCGCCAAGGACUGCAAAGACCCGUACUGCCCGCCCUCCCUCUGCCAGGUGCCACCCACCGAGAAGAGCAAAAGUACCGUCAACUUCUCCUACAAGACGGAAACCCUCUCCAAGCCCAAAGACGGGGAAAAGCAGUCCAAGAAGUUUGGGCUCAAGCUCUUCCGGCUGAGUUUUAAAAAAGACAAGACCAAGCAGCUGGCCAACUUCUCCGCCCAGUUCCCUCCCGAGGAGUGGCCGCUGCGCGACGAGGACACGCCCACGACCAUCCCCCGGGAGGUGGAGAUGGAGAUCAUCCGGCGCAUCAACCCCGACCUGACGGUGGAGAACGUCAUGCGGCACACGGCGCUGAUGAAGAAGCUGGAGGAGGAGAAGGCGCAUCGGAGCAAAGCGGGCUCCUCCGCCCAUCACAGCGGGAGGAGUAAAAAGAGCCGGACCCAUCGGAAGUCGCACGGCAAGUCGCGCUCACACAGCAAGACGCGCGCGUCUAAAGGAGACCCGUCCGACGGCUCUCACCUGGACGUCCCCGGGGAGCGGGAGUACGACUUCUGCGACCCCCUGACCAGGGUGCCCAGGGAGGGCUGCUUCAUCAUCGAGCACAAAGGCGAGAACUUCAUCAUGCACAGCAACCCCAGCGUGCUGGAGCCCCACUUCCCCAUGACGCCGGAGUGGGACGUGUCGGGGGAACUGGCCAAAAGGAGGACUGAGAUGCCCUUUCCCGAACCUUCCAGGGGCAGCUCCCACUCGAAAGUGCACCGAAGCCACAGCCAUACCCAGGACCGACGGUCCAGGAACGAGAGGUCCAGCAAAGCCAAGGAGAGGUCCAGGUCCAUGGACAAUUCCAAGGGUCCCCUGGGCGCGUCCUCUCUGGGGACGCCUGAUGACCUGGCCGAAGGCUGCAGCCAGGAGGACCCAACCCCCAUCCAGCCCUACAUUGACGACAGCACGCUAAGGCCCGCCCCGACGGCCGCUCAUCAAAGGGCUCACCUUCUGUCCCCGAGCUAUAAAGAGGUGUGUAUUCCGGAAAUAGUCGGCGGCAGCAAGGAGCCGUCCAGCACGUGCAGCCUCCUGGAGCCAGGCAAACCCCCCGAGAGUUUGCCGUCCUUCGGUGACCUCAAUUCUUGUCCAACGAAAACAGCCACGGACGACUAUUUCCAGUGCAACACGUCCAGCGAGACGGUGCUCACGGCGCCAUCGCCUCUGGGAAAGAAUAAAGAGGACCAGGACCCUCUGGCCCUGGCCGAAGGGGUGAAGAAGCUGCCUCUGUCGGACAGGCAGACCCCGCUUUCCUCCAGGGAGCCGGGAGGACACAAGGAGGAGUCGCCCACAGGGCCAGGCGGGGGCCCGGCUGCUCCGGGCGCGGCGGCGGAAGGGAUGGCCAAUGGACGCCUCAUCCAGCAUCACGGCGCCGAGCCCAGCAGCCUGGACAAGAGGAAAGAGAUAUUCAGCAAAGACACACUGUUCAAACCUCUGCACAGCACCUUGUCUGUAAACAGCUACCACAAACCCAGCCUGUCCCUCCUCAAAGCGCACCCGAAGGCACCUGCGGACACGCUGGCGGGCCGAUGCGAGAAGCUGGAGCCGGCCCUGGGCCCCGCGGCCGCGCAGGUCCUGCCGGCCCUCCAGCGCCAGCAGGAGCCGGGGGGCAACCAGGAAGCCUCUUUCGACUAUUACAACGUGUCUGAUGACGACGACUCGGAGGAGGGGGCCGCCAAGACCACCGAGGAGGAGAAGAACCGAGACGAUGUGGGCACCAUGCAGUGGCUCCUUGAAAGGGAGAAGGAGCGAGACCUGCAGAGGAAAUUCGAGAAGAACCUCACCCUCCUCGCCCCCAAAGACACGGACAGCAGCGGCCACCAGAGGACCACCCACUCGGCACGCCUGGACAGCAUGGACAGCAGCAGCAUCACGGUGGACAGUGGAUUCAACUCCCCACGCACUCGGGAGAGCCUGGCCUCCAACACGUCGAGCAUUGUUGAGAGUAACCGUCGUCAGAACCCUACCUUGAGCCCGGCCCAUGGCGGCGCCGGCCCGGCCUUCAACUUCCGAGCAAGCACGGACCCACCAACAAACGAAGCUGAGAAAUUACAGAAACCUUCCAACUGCUUGCAGGCUUCCGUGACGAGUGUGUGACCGUCGUCCGGCCUCCGAUCUCCGUCUCGUGCGACGCAGCCAAGUUUACGACACUGGGACUGAUGUUUACAUCUUCGGAAAGACAAGCAUCUCAACCACAGUUUUGGUGUUUACUUAAACUGUGCUGCUAAGUAGGCUAGAGCAAAACACAAAAGUCUUUCUUUCAGAGUAUUGCUUUUUCCCAUGUAUGGCUCUGUAGCAACAGAAUAGCAGUAGGGGUGAUAUGUACACUUUUGCUUCACUAACUUGUAACUGAGCACACAUAGGAAAGUCUAGACACUGUCAGUGUAAUCUGCAUUUCCAAUGUCAUGCCGUUGCCAACGCCAUUUUCAAAUGCCACAGGUGCGUGUUGCUCCCAGUCUGUGGGCAGAUGGUGCCACAGAACUGCUUCUUGACACUUCCAAACAAACAAACAAAAACAACGAAGCCACCACAAAAUGUCCAAUGCCAGGGCCCGCGGGGAGGGAGAUCAUGCCAAACAGCCGAGGAGGGACCCAGCCCCCGGUGUGUGAAUUGCUUAGGCACCCGUCAUUUCCUCACUGUGAGUUUUCGUGGCGCGAGGUUGCAGGAGCCCGUGGAAGUGUGUCCAGGGGUCGGGAUGGAGAUCCUGGGAGUGCGUGUCGUCAGGAUUUUGUUUUUCAGUGUCACAGAUGCUUGUCCGAGUGUUAACCUUCCACAAUCACCAACAGGAAUAUAGGCCUUUGGAUCUGAAGUGGGUAGAAAGGCAGGGGCCCCAGGCCUGGCUGGGCUCAGCACUCCUGCUGGAAGAGGUAACGCAGACUCUACUCGUAGAAGAGGUGUGAGUCGGGAUCUGUGAGGCUGGGAAAGGGAUGAUGAGCCUAUCUUACGAUAAUAGAUACGAUAAUUAGUUUGUUUAAAAGCAAAAUGUUCUUUGUGAUACAAAUGAAGAGUAUGGCCUGGGGAUGUUAUUCUUUCUAAUGGAAGGACAUAAAUCUAUUUUAUGUAGUUUUAAAUAGAAUGCCUAAAUUAGGCGGUGGAAGAUAAUUUUUAGUGGUUCUAGGAAAGAGCAGAGAGUUAGGGAGAGUUGAACUUCAGGCCUUUUAUUCCUGGGAAGAUAUCUAUAGAGAGAACUUUAAAAGUAGUUUUUGAUCAGAGGUAUACAUGUGCCCAUGUAAUGAACAACGGAAUGUGCUCAUUCUGCAAAUGUGGUAUAAUUCUAACUUGUACUCCCCCUAAAAUUGACCAGAAUAAUCAUUAUGCAUACAUGAACUAUGCCAGAGUGAUGUUUACAGAGACUGUGUAACCGAUUUCAGGAGGCACGUUUAGGUGGAUGUGCGGCGAUCAGCCCAACUUACUUUGAGAUGGUUUAUUCACAUUUGGCUUUGGUUUACAAUGUCACGUUGAAUGCAGAGAAGCCGGGCGGCAGCAGAGGGAUGACAAAUAGUCAAGCUUCAGCCUUCCGGGAAAGAGAUUUUCCCAGGGCCCUGCGAUUUAUUUUAUGGGAACAAUGGAAUCAAGCUGUAGGUAAUGGGAAAGUAUUUGCAAAAGGGUUACAGAUGAUGCAAGUAAAUGGUCUGACCAAAAAAAAAAAAAAAAGUUUAUUUAGUUCCAUGGCAUGUGAUGUUUGGAGCCAUAAAAUACAUAUCCAAAAAUAAAUCCCAGAUCCAGCCAGCGGCAUGGCGUUGGUGAAGCGCCCCUGCCCCGGGUUAGGCUGCAUCGGCGGCCCGUUUAGGGAACGCAGGUGCACACGCGGCCGGACUGAUUCUUGCAACAUGUGGGCACUCCCUCGCGCUUCUUCAGAUAUUUGGAAGUUGCGUGGGGAACCGGACGCAUCGGGGCAGUGUAGGUUCCCUGUCUGUGCUUAGGGUGAAACCUAAGUACGUGCCUCGGUCAGCUCCCACACCACGAAAAGGCUCCCGUCAGUCGGCGUGCCAUGUCAUGCCUUAUUUCCUCCGAGGCAUGCCCGGAUGGCUCAGCAAGGCACGCUGUCUCCCCACUUAACUACGUCCAGAAGGAAGGAUAGUGUCUCUAAGAGACUCCAUUCCGAGUCCGUUUCCUUGGGGAGCUGUCUACCAUACAGUAACUAAAUUCUUCUGUCUAAAUUCAUCCUCCCCCACCCCAAACCCCUGCUCUCAAGUUUACCAUACACUCAGUUCAUAAAUAACAUGACCAUUGAGACAGCCCACCAGCCUCCGGCUGACCCUCUGAACGUCGCCAUCAUCUGAGUCAGAGGCUGGAUGACCCGGAAAAGAAAGCACGACCUUUGGAAGCUUUAAAAUAGGAAUUUAUCACUAUUUCGCAGGAAAUCGGUUUACAGAAGUCAUUGUUCCAAUAAAAUGUGUACACUUUCUGCCUGAUGCCAUGGGGUAAUUAAAAAAACAAAAAACAGCUCCCUUAGACCAGCAGCCAUGAGCGUAGACACGAGGGACUUUAAAGGUGAUAUGAUGUCCCAGGUAGAGCAGCCCCGUCUGAUCUCUCCGGGCUUCCCGAAGCGGGGAGGGAGGGGCAGGAAGCACAUUGCAGAUGUGACCCAGGAUGGUCCACAGCGAGGCUCUCGGGUCCCAGCUUCGAGGACACCCUUGUCCUCCGGGGAAAUGCUAGCUUAGUGUCCACGGCUGCGUAUAGAGGCUUCACUUAAGAGCUUGUCAUCCGAAAGGUUUACAGAAUCGAAUCCGGUUGAAUCUCUGUGUAGCGUUCAACGUUAAAGGGUCAGCCCAUCUGUUGGCAUUUUGCACACUUAUGUAUUAUUAUGAUGCAGCAUAUUACUUUAUGGUAAUUUUUAUUUUUGCAUAUAACUACCUCCAUAAAUUUGAUGAAGCGGCAGCCGUGCGUUGGUGUGUAUCGGUCAGAAAAGCGGAGUCCAGGCCACGGCGUGGUGUGUGUGCGUGUGUGUGUGUGUGUGGGCGAUCGCCUCUGUGGACUCAUGACUUUCUCAUCGCCAUGGUUUCCUUUCACGGCAUUAUUUCACUUUCAGAUGUAAGCCUGUCUCCUCCCCUCCCCACCACAGCGCACUUGGUUUUGUGAUGAAUGGGAGGAAGUUUAAAUUUCUUGUCUUCCCCCCGCUCCCCCCCACCCCCGCAUUCUUGCUAAAAGUUCCCCCUGGCAAAGAGCCAAUUGGUAAACAUAACGUAGCGAUUUACUCCUAUGAAAAUCUGAUGUAAUCUCUAGGUUUUCAGUAACCGAAGACACACAAGAAAUGCGGACUGCGACUAGGGAGCACUUUGGUCCUCUGCCUUCACCACAUGCUGGCGUAUCGAGCCCAAACGUCCCUCCCAUGAGGAGAGCUGUGCCGUGUGCCCACAACUCCUGUUCCAUAGUCACCUCGGGGAGGGAAAAAAAACCCUCUUCGAUGACGCCGAAAGCAUCGUUCCUUUUUUAGGCUGGCACGGCUUUCUCAAAUUCCACCCAGGAAAACCACUUCUCACCACAAAGUGUACUUGAAAAUAAGUUUCCAGUCCAAAUCGUAGGCCUGUUGCCCACCCUGCAAUCGUGGCGAUGUUCUGGAACGGCUCCGUGUGGGCCGUGGGCCGUGGGCCGUAUUUUGGAGCUUGAUUAGAAACCAACCCCGACCUGUAGUGACUUUGCACAUUCAUGUCGGGGUCUCUCAGUGCUUCCCGAGCGUGCGGGUCCUCUGUGCCGUGCCCGUACUCGAAGCCAACACACGGAAGGAGUGACAGACGAGAUGACCCAGGACACAGUGGCAGCUAGCGAUGAUCUCUGUUCUAUCUGUUGGAUAGACCAUCCCGAGCAAUCACCCAACACAGUGCGAUUUUUUUUUCUGAUGUGUGCUAAUAAAGUCAAAGAGAAACGAAUACAACUCUCCACCGUUGUCCACUUUCAUUCAAAACGUUCAGGGCGCUGGGAAUGUGACGCCUCCGUACACCUUCCGGGCAGCGACUUCUGAAGGGGGACGUCCAUUCGGCCCAUUCCGGUGCCACUGCGGUCAGCGGUAGGUAGACACAUGCCCGUGUUGGCAGCUGCCUAUUGGCUCCGUGAUUCCUGUGCUAAAAUGCCGUCUUUCAAGGAACACGGCUGCUCCGGGCUGGGGAGGUGCCGAGGCGGAAAUUUCAGUGAAGAACUGUCUCAAGUUCUCAGGCUUCGUAGGCAACAGCAAGGCAGCCCUUAUCGGGCCCGGCUCCAAAGAAUCUGGGUUCCCCAGGGAGCUGGUCUGGUUGGCAGUGCCCUCACAUUAGAAAGGGCACUGGAUGAGGCCUUCUCUGUUGCCACGGGCCGGUCACAGGACCCGCUGGCCGCAUUCUGGCGGUGCCAGUGGACCCCACAGAAGUGGCCCUUCCCUUCCCUCUCCCCAGGCCCCGCUCCCCCCAGCCUGUCCUGCCCGUUGUCUGGGGGGCCAGCUCUCAUCAGUUCCUGAGUGACUCCCCCACACACCUUUAGGGCUCGGGGAAGCCAGAACCCA